UGCAGGGUGCUGCUUUGCAGCACCACAAGCUCAGCCUCAAGGCUGAGGCGCUGCACCCUCCUGCCAGGCUGGUCUAGCACUCUGGGCCCUGGAACUGCCUUGAGUUCCAGCUGCUGAGGUGGAGACUGCCCGAGAACGUUGGGUCAGCGCAACUCCUGCGUCAUCAACAGUUCACCAGCACAGUGGAGCCCAGACGCUGUAAGCAGUUUGACGGUGAAGGCUGAGCUGCCUUUGGAAAAGAGGAGGUGUCAUCAAUGUGGUUGAUCCCUUCUCUCUGUCCCCAGCGUUGCUAAGAAUAUCCUGGUGUCCAACCUUUGGCCAGUUCCUGAGGCCUGAAGUGCAGUUUAGGCUGGGCCUCAGCUGAGAAGCACUUAUGCUGUGGAAUGUGGUGUGCGAGUUUUGACAGGCUUCGUCUGCUCCAUCCUCAGCUUCUCUUUUUAAAGAAUGCAGCUUUUCUGAGUCAUGUGACUACAGAGCAAAGUGAAGAUCUGUGGAUGCGGCUGUACCUUGUGUCCCUGUGACAAAUCUGCAGACAGGUGUCCCAAGAGGAAAGCAGCAGCUUUUGUG